CUAGUGCACAAGUGUAAGUCGGUGUGCUAACUCUACAACACUAUUGUGGACAAACUUAGGAGGGUUCCCUGGCACUGAACGGGAUAUCGCUAGCUUACUGAAGCGGUCUCACCGUUGAUUACAAAGUAGCACUGUAACUUGGAAGCAACCCAACAAAAUAUGAGAGUUCCAAAUAAAAAUGUGUCUUUGGACUCUGUAGGUAUUGUCGCGGCAAAUGGAUAGCUGGGGGCGUCAAUAUUCUACGUGACCAGCUCCUUGCCGUCCAAGGAAACAUGUGUCGGAAGUGAGGACUAUCUAUUCGUUCGUAGAAUGGCGAUCGUACUAUUCGUACUACUGGUAGUACUAAAUUAUUGGUAUGUACGAACGGCGCGCCAGAUUGCAUCUGCAUUCACCCGCUUUACCGGCCAGAUAAGUAGCGUGAUUUAUUUAUUUGCGAUGUCGUCAGUACAUUACUGUCGUGUAAUAUGCGAAAUGGAUUUUAUUCACGCAAUUUGAUAAUAUUGGUAUUAUGUACGCAAUUUAUCGGAUAUUAACGUGUUUUAAGUUUUGACGAUCUCUAUAGCCAAAUGGUUAUCAUGCCGGACUGUUACACUGGAGGUUACUUCUGUUUAUGAAAUAUAAUAAAAAAGAAAAAAGGCUAGAGGCUAUAAAGAAUCCUUUAAAUCCCAUGAGAGCAAAGCAGUUCGGACAGCUAGUGUGACAUGUUUUGACGAAGACAAAUGGAUUGAAAGCUGAAAAUAAACUCCUUCGUGUAAAUAAACACUGUCUAAAAGCCUUGCGUUUUACGGUGCGAGUACUUUCGAAUGAAAUGGUUUUUGGGAUUGCAGUGAAUAUCAAAUAACCAGACGGUUCACACUAAAAUGGGAGUAACGUGAUCCUUUGUAGGUAACUAAAAGGCGAGUUGUUGCUAAAUUGACGUAGUGUACUCGUAGCAGCAUAUUUGCGGAUGCUGGCAUAGAUUAUUUUUAUGCCAUCAUUAGCAUAAUGUCAAAUUCGAAGUUUCUGCGUUUAAAAGGAAGGUCUUAUAGCAACUCAUAGACGAGAGCAUGUUAUAAGAGGCUCUAACGAUUGGCAAGUGAAACUAACAGUUAUCAAACACGGUUCCGUACUCCGGAGAGAAGUUUCACACACCAACGCAGUUUGGAAAACAUAUCUACGUACGGCGUUUUCAAACGGCCGCUUUAUAAUGACUAGUAAUUUAGAAACAUGUUUAAUUUUUUAGAUAUAUUUGGGUUUGAAUGUUAAACUAAUGUACAAAUAUUAUUUACUAGGAGCUUAUAAUUCUAUUUAAAAAUACGUCCAGAAA